AGACGUGUUUAGUAACGAUCAUAAUCAGGGUAAGAACCACUUUCAAAUCUCGGGGCCUUCUUAACACAAGUCUUUGGUAACCCAAGCGUAACAGGCAUCACUCACGAAUCUGCUUUGACUUCACUCCUCGGCCCCCACUUGCCACCCGCCUGCUCCCCAGCACCCCGUUUGCCCACUUCCCGUGGCUCAGCCUACACUUGACCCCCAGGAGCCAUCUCCCCUUGGGGCCGAGGAAUCCUGUGUCCUUUUCCUGGAAGGACAUAGCCUUCCCGCUGUCCACGGCCCUCCUCUUCUCCCGCCGUACAGAGCUCACCUUCGAUGGCCUCUUUGUGCCUGGUUCACAGAGGCCAGAGCCCGAAGUCGGGGCUCAGACACUUCCACAGGUGAGCAGGGCAUCUGAGCGGCCCCCUUCGGACAGGUCAGGGACCCCAGGCCACGUCCAGCACAGACCCCUCAGCUACCAGCCAGCAGAGAGGACUCGUGGGGCAGGGGUGGGGGAAGUAACCUCCAUGAUAGACUUGGAGCUGUCGCUUAACUGGGGACGUGGCUGCUUGCAGUCAGGUUGGGCAGGGCAAGGGGGUUGGUGAACAGAACCUUCCGGAGACAUCAACCCAGAGAAAAGCCGAGCCUCUCGUGCUCUUUCCUUGGAGCGGCCGCCCACGGCAGAAAGCCACCGGGGUCUCUAGCAUCUCCCAGUGGCCCAGGCCUUGACCGUGCUCAGCGCCAAGGCAAGAUGCGGCCGGGCUCCCAGAGACUCUCCCGAGCCCCACGCUUGCCCUCCCCGGUGUGCCACACGGUCUGAGGAUGGUUCCAGAGUAAACCAUGCCGCCUUUGAGCCCACCCUCUCCCCUGGAAAGGGUAAUCAGAAUUAGUGGCUGCCCGUAAUAACAAAACCCACAAAAGAGAAGCCAGAGCGGUCCGGAGUCUUGUUCUGAGUGCUUUCCCAGGAUGCCAUGCUGACUGGCCAUCUGAUGGUGCCCCCACCAUCCUGUGCAGCUAAUAGCUCCUGUGUUUCCUGAGAAAGGCCUGGAACAUUCCACCCAAGCCCCCUCGUGAACCUCUGUCAGUCAGCCUGGCAGGGGCCCAACAACACGCUUAGCGCGCCCGGCUCUUGUGAAGCUAGCCCAGAGCCACUGCUCCAGGAGUACAGGGGCCCCUGGUGGCGUGCAGUGCCCCCGCUCCGGAACGCUGACCCUGACCGCAGUUGUUCAGAGGGUUGCCCGAUCCCCCGGCGGUCACGUCCUGGCUCCAUAUCCUAUUUAUUGUUUGUGCCGGACAGACUCUUCUCCCUCGUUACUUUGCAGCGUGAGCUCGAGUUUGCUGUGCGUUACGCAACUAGACAGAACACGUUGGCCUGUUUCAGUGUGGCUUGUACGAAUAGCUUUAUUCUCAUUUUAAACAGGUUCUCGACUUUUCUGAGGUUUGGGGGUGGGGGGAGUUUUCCAAAACCGCAGAUGACAAUGCAAAACAACCAUUGAAGGUGGUAGCCCCAGCCAGGAGACUGAAUGACACUAGAAAUCAUCAGGAGGAGACCUCCUUGGGACCCCAGAUCACUAUGCAAAACAAAACGAAACGCAACAAGAACCCAGAAGCCCCCGGAUGGCCGGCUCUCUGAAUAACAGUCACUCACCCUGUAGUACUCCUGCCGGCUGCCUGGUCCACCUCUGGCUCAGAAGCCACUUCCCCACCAACCUUCCCCAAGGCCACAGCCUCUAAGGCACGCCCACCCAUAGCAAGGAAGGGUGUCGGGAUAAAGCGUGGCCUCUGCAGAGCCCUUGUGGCUGGAUCCCGCUGGACUCCCGGUCACCUGGAUCACAAGCAGGCAAAGAAAUUCCCAAGAAGGAAUCUGGAACUGAAACACCCCACCAGGCUUGAAAAGUAGGAAGAAGCCACACGCUGCACCUGAAGAAGAAAGGGAAUGGUUUUCCUGAAAGCUUCCAGUUAUCCCCUCGCCUAAGGUCUAUCUUUAAAUUUCGGGAGACAUCGCUGAUACACAGGCUUCCUUAGAACCUUAGGAUGAGUGUUAUCCAGAGAUGCCCCUGCCUCUGGGGGCUACACAGCGACGCCCAGGCCUUGGCUGGGCAGCUUCCAAAUCAGAAUUGCACUUUAAUUGACUAACCCUCCAUUCUCGAGGCCUUACGGGAUAGUGGGUCUGGGGACCCAUCGCGUUCUUACCUGCCAAAGAACUACCCAGAAGCACAUCAAAUUGCCAACACCCCACCUGCAUGGCAGGAGGGGGGAGGUGAGAAACUUUUGUACCCCAAACAUACUUCUUUAUAGCAUCUGCGGCACUGUUUGGAACUGUUUUCUUUUUAACCUCAGGAUUUAAAUAAAGCAAACACUAUGACACAGGGAGUAGCGUCGUCUUUCUUUGCACCGGGACCUGAGGCGAGUGAUGAAGUUACCCAGACCGGACCGGGGGUGUGGAGUCACCCUGCUGGGACAUAGAGCAUCGGCUUGUACCCCGGCUUUUUAGAAGGGCUCGAGCCACCAGAUGCUCCGAGAGGUUUGCCGUGUGGCCUGGCAUCUGGGUACUCCCACCCCCGCCUACCGUGAGGUUGGCGUUCGGGCCUGCUGGAGUCAAGGCACCCUUCCAACCCGGCUGCUCUCCGCCAGAUGAGCAGAGAACACAAUGGUGACCUACCAGGACGGUGUGGGGGAAGGGGGGGAUGGUCACGGAUGCCCUAAAACCAUGCUCAGUUGGCCUGUGGUACAAAGCUGGGCAAAACCACAGGGCCAAGGCAGCUGGCGGAGGAAGGAGUCACAUUCCCACCGUAACUUAACGCCUACUCCUGCUGAAUCAGCAGAGACCUGACACAGACCCAGAAGGGGCGGGACCCCAUCACCCCUGAACUGGUCAGAUGGAGCACACUCACCCCACACCCCGCAUCUGAGGAUCACAGCCCCCCUUCCCUCCCUCUCCUUUCCUCCUCCAACCCUCCCCUGGCACCCAGAUUCUCAUGUGGCCUCUUCUCUGAUCAGUUACACAGGAAUAAGUUCUAUUUUCUGUAACCGUAACCAUGUUCUCCCUUGAGGGCAGGCACCGUGUUUCCUUCAUCUCCUUCCUUUCUCUCAGCCCCACAGCGUCGAGCACCAUGCCAGACACAGAAGCGCUCAGCAGUUACCGAGUCAAUGAGGCCACCAGCCGAUCCCCAUGCUUGGUCAGCUCUGAAGCCAUCGCCAAUCCCAUUGGCCAACUUGGCCAGGGACAGGAGCCCCUGUAGCCCCCAUGGCACAGAAGGGCAAAGGACAAGCCUCCAGGAGGGGGUGUGGGGAGAAUGGAGGUCUGCCCUUUCGGUUUGAAGAUGCGUGGGAAAAAUCUGGCGAGAGGAGUUUGCCACCCACACAGAUCGGCGAAACCUGUCACCCCAGAUGAGAAAAUGGACUUUUUUUUUGUUUGUUUGAGAGAGAGAAGUUGAGCCGAAGCCAUCAGAAGCCAGGCGGAGAGCACAGCUAUCAUGAAAGCCGUUCAAAGUGGGUUAGGGUUGACAGAAAGGUCAGCCUUCUGUGUUCCCCACAAGGUGGUUUCUGGAGGAGGGUGAACCGGAGCGCAAGUGUGAUCGCCGGCCUCUGGGGUUUGAUACCUGUACCCCCGUCCCUCCCCAGCCCCCCUGCCCUCCCCCCCUCCCCCCCGGCGCUCUGCGGGAGGACGGGGCCCUGGUGUGGUUUCCUCACACCUUCGGGCAUGUAUGGACUGCGGUUGUCUCAGACGCGGCAGCCCCAUCUGAAGCCUGGAAUGAACUGUCUUCUUUGCUAAAAAAGAAAAAAAAAAAAAGAACAAAGUCAGGCAUCAGCAAACCCGGCGCACGUGAGCGUCCUUACCAAAAGGAAGGCCUCGGACCCAGACCAGGUGGGGCUUGCGGGCCUGUGGCUCCCUAGAAUCACCAAAGGGAAGGCAAUUUCAAGUCAGGAGGGCCUCCCUCGCUUUCUGCCGCGGAGGAAGCCUCCGGCUGAGCCACGAGGAGAGAAGGAAGUUUCCCGCAAGGGCCUGGAUACCCGUCGGUCAGGUCGGUGGAACGGGUACUGUCUUCUUCCCAGGAGGAAGGAAGGGGUGAGGGGAGGGGAGACGGGGGGAGGUGGUGAGGAAAGAGAGGUACAUGGGAGGGGCCUCCCAGAGGCCUCGGGGAGGGCCGGGCCGGAGUCUGGGUUAGCAGAACUCACCUUUCUCAUCGGAGGAAAUGGCAGUGUCCGUGUGGCCAAGGCCAACCACCACAUCCAGCAGAGGCAACAUUUAAAUAGAAGGAAGACCUGGACGGUUUGCCAAAAAGACACGGAAGGCAGUGGCUGGAGACACGGGAAAGGUAGUCGGGUUUGUUCCUGUGUCUCUGGGCUUGGCUUCAGGGCUUCCUAUGCUCUCACAGAAAGGCCCUGAGGAGGGACGGCAGCCAGAGUCCUCCCCCCGCCGCCAGGCCUUUGCACAAGGGACGGGGUCCGUGUGUGGGACCAGAGGUCUUGGCAGGCACCGCCCUUCUCCACCAGCAAGGACCCCCGUGGAACCGUCGAGUCUUCUCAGAACGAGGACCACACGCUCACGGCCAUGCCAACUCUGGUUCAUCAGGCUGAGCCACCCAGAAGCCUGCUAGUGGAUCAGCGCAGGUGACCCGCUGGGCCACCCCGAGGUCCUUGAGGGUCACUGCCGUGUCACCACUGCGGUCAGAGCUUGAGGAAAGGGGUGAAACGAACUCAUGGAUCUGUCCUCGAAUUUCACUUCGCCAGUGACCCCUGAACCUUGGAAUGGGGACUUCUCCAACCUCAGCCCGUUGGCCCAAGCGCCGGGACACAGGGGCAGCGACUUCCUUCUUGGAGAGGAAGCUACUUCCAAACAAACCACCGGGGAGGAAACUAUUCUACGGGCAAAAGUUUUCACAGCCGCCAUUUCUUCCACGGCUCGUGUUUGCCUUCAAGGACAUGUUGCUCACUGACAGAUCGUUCCUCAAUGGGGAAACAUCCCCUGCCCCAAAUCCAAAGUGGCUCCAUCCAUGUCCAAAAUUUCAGAGUUCCAGGAAGAAACGGGAGUUCAGUGCCGAUGGAUACGUGACGGGGGAGGUCGGGUCAAACAUGGGCUCCUCACCCGGUCCAUACACAGAACUCAGACGGUCCGGGAACUUGGAUAGGGGGAAAAUGGCCUCUUUCCCCUGACUCUGCACUAAAAUGUAGAUCUUCCCCCCACCGUGAAUGUAAACAACGUGUCACACUAGCACAUGUCAGCAAGGGCUGUGAUUUCGUCGCCAAUGGAAAUGACAGAUGUUUUCAUAUUUAACAGACUCUCAAAAUCUCAUCUCCGCUCUACAACAAAGGUUGUCAUCACACCCGCUGGUCGAUUUUACUUAAUGCAUUAAUAAUGAAAAAAAAAAAAGGCACAGAUGUUACUGGUUCGUAGAUUUGUUCUGAUUUUUAGAGGA